GCACCUGUAGCUCAGCAGGAUAGAGCGUCCGCCUCCUAAGCGGAAGGCCUUGGGUUCGAAUCCCGACAGGUGCGCCA
rnacentral:tRNA from 2 species